GCGCGCGGUCUUUUUCACUUUCGCUUGCUGCCAGGGAGAGGAGUGGGUGUGCUUCCAAGCCGUGCGCCUUCAUCAACUUUCCUCUGGCUUAAUAUCAUGAAUGCUGUAUGCUUUGGGAGCUUCUCAAACAUUAUGAGGUAAACUAAUAAGAUGAGAGUAUCUGCUUUUCUCUUUACCUUGUUAUGGCUGAUCAAGCCUCAGGUGUCCAGCUCCAGCAAUGAAAGAACUGUCAGUGUACCUUUCCUGAGCUUUCCUUGUUCCUAUUAGCAAUGAGACUAGAGUCUCACAGAGAAAACACUGUUCUUCCAAAUUCGUAAAUCUGGCUUAAACUGGAAGGCUUAUUCAGGGAUUAAUUCUACCUCAGUGCUUGCAUAGGAUCUAAUAUAGCAAUGGCCAAGAUGAGGUACUGGGACUUACUGAAAAGCAAAUUAAAUAAAUAAAAAGGCUAGACUUGUCACUCUGCAAAGAUUGUUAUCAGUAAAUAGUAUGAAUCCUGGUGGCUCUACUGUGACGUGAAAUGUGAAAAAACACACAGCAAUCAGUGGCUGUGUACUUUCAGGAAGGUGUAGACUUUUCCAUCUCUAGGUUUUGCAAAAGCUACAUUUGAAAUGCAGCACUUUCGCUCAGCAGAAUCAGCCACACAAACUUUCCAAGCCUUCAAAUCAAUGCUGCCUUCACCUUAGUAGGUAUGAAGGUGAGUAUGUCACCAAUUGUACCGAUUAUACCAACAAUUGUUGUUUCUCAUAAACAGUGUCAGCCAGAUGUGGCCUAUAAGACACUAUUCAGGAUUAGAUUCAAAAAGUUUUUGCACUUCUUCUAAGGCUGAAGACAAAAAUUGAAGAUAUUAAUUGCACUGCUUAUAGCUUCAGUCUCUCCAUCUGAAUGAGAUGCUUUGUGGUUUCUAUAAACCCCAGGAGUAUGAUGCUUGAAGCUGAAAUAUAUUUCCGGACAGAUUUUUGCCUUAUUAUAUCUAUUGGGAUUGAAAACACUGCCACUUAGAAAUGCCAUAAAAACCUCUAUUUAUACAUAACAGUAUUGUUUCCAGAAAUGCUUUGAAAAAUCACCUCCAUUAAUAUUUAUCCUUCUUGUCUCACACAGGGGAGUUAUUUUUUGAUUAUAUAUAUAGCAUAACCAAUGUCAUUCUGAAAAACCCUGAGAAAGAUUGUAUAAUAAAAAAAGCUUCAUUCUGCCAGUGUACAAUAUGGAGAUAAAAGAAAUUUUACUAUUACUGUGGAGUCUGAAAGGGGCAAGAGUGAUCAAAAUUGCAGACAGGUGUUUUUUUCGCCCCAAAAUAUGCUAAGAGAUACUGACACUACUGUAUUCCUGUUGUACAAAAAUGAUUUAUGACAGAAUCAUGUGCCAUACAUUCAUGCUAACUAUAUUAAAUAUAAUUUGCGAUAAAAUCUAAAACAUACCAUAUUUGUUAUGCUUCUGAAAUUCAGACCAUUAUUGUAGAUGAUUUAUUAAUUUGAUUAUAAUUUUCUUAAUGAUUUAUUUAUUUUGAGACCAUCUAAAGAACCUGAAGGUGCACAAAUCCAUAGGACCCAACAAGAACUAUCCAUGAGUUAUGAGGGAAGUGGCUGAAGAUGCCAAGCUGCUAUUCAUCAUAUUUGAAAGGUCAUGGCAGUCUAGUGAAGUUCCCACCAACUGGAAAAGGGGAAACAUAAUCCCCAUUUUCAAGAAGGAAAAAAAGAAGAUCCAGGGAGCUAGAGGCCAGUCAGUCUCACCACUGUGCCUGGCAAGAUCAUGGAACAGAUCCUCCUGAAGGCUCUACUAAGGCACAUGGGAAAUAAAGACAAGGUGACUCGUGGUAACCAACGUGACUUCACCAAGGAUAAGUCAUGCCUGACAGACAUGGUGGCCUUUUAUGAUGGAGUUACAGCAUCAAUGUAUAAAGGAAAAGUAAAUGAUGUCAUCUACCUGGACUUGUGCAAAGCAUUUGACACUGUCCCACACAACAUCCUGGUCAUCAAAUUGGAAGAAAAUAAAUUUGAUGGAUGGACUACUCACUGAAUAAGGGAUUGGCUGGAUGGUUGCACUCAGAAAGUUGUGGUCAAUAGCUCAGUUUCCAAGCGGAGAUUGAUGAUGAGAUGAGUGGCGUUCCUCAGGGAUUGGUGUUGGGAUUGGUAUUAUAUAAUAUCUUUGUAGGCAACAUGGACAGUUGGAUUGCACCCUCAGCAAGUUUGCAGGUGACAUCAAGCUGAGUUGUAUAGUUAACACGCUAGAGGGAAGGAAUGCCAUUCAGAGGGACCUGGACAGGCUUGAGAGGUGGGCCCAUGCCAACCUCAUGAAGUUCAAAGAGGUGAAGUCCUACACCUGGGUCAAGGCACUCUCAAGCACAGAUACAGGUUGGGUGGAAAAUGGCUUGAGAGCAGCCCUGAAAAGAAGGAUUUGACUGUGUGAUUGAUGAAAGAUUCAACAAGAGCUGGCAAGUGUGCACUUCCAGCCCAGAAGGCCAACUGUAUCCUGGGUUGCAUCAAGAAAAGUAUGACCUGGAAGUCAAAGGAGGUGAUUCUGACGCUCUACUCUGUGGAAAGACCUCACCUAGAGUACUGCAUCUGGUUCUGGAGCUCCCAGCACAAGAAGGACAUGGAGUUCUUUGAGCAGGUUCAGAGGAGGGCCACGAAGAUGAUCAGAGGGCUGGAGCACCUCCUCUACGCUCCAUAGCCUGGAGAAGAGAAGGCUCUGAAGAAGAUUUUGUAGCAGCCUUCCAGUACUUGAAAGGGGACUACAGGAAAGCUGGGGAGGGACUUUUUAGAAGGGCCAGUAGCAUCAGGAAAAGUGGAAAUAGUUUUGAGCUGGAAGGGUGUGGAUUUAGACUAGAUAUUAGGAAGAAAUUAUUUACUGUGAGGGUGGUGAAGUGCUGGAACAGGUUGCCCAGUGAGGUUGUGAAUGCCCUCUCCUUAGAAACAUUCAAGGUCAGGUUGAAUGGGACUUCAAGCAACCUGGUCCAGACAGAGGUGUCCCUGCCUAUAGCAAGUGUGUUGGAACUAGAUGAUACUAAAGGUCCCUUCCAACCCUAACUAUUCUAUGAUUCUAUGAUUAAAGCCUAUGAAUUUUAAACUGGAAUUUGGAAUCCUGCCAUUAAAUAAUCUUAAACAA